ensembl:lncRNA
GUGUGUGUGUGUGUGUGUGUGUGUGUGUGUGUGUGUGCGCCAGCAAUUACAGAGUAAGUUUAGAAGUGAUCACAAAGCACGGGCGCACACACCCAUGGGCCACGUACCGCAAAUUCCUGAUUUUCCUCAUCGGUGUCGUCAUCAGGACCACCUACGCUAUCUGAGACAACACCCGUCCCCCGUAGUCGGCACCGCGUCUGUGGCAAUAGUGAAGAGUCCCACAGUGAGUCAGAGAUAAAGAGGUCAGAGGUCAACAGCGUCCCGGUGAAAACUGUGUAGUGUGUGCGUGCCUUUUGAGGAGAGUCAGAGAAACACAGCCACAGAGGUGCUUUCAGCCAAAUGCUAACGUUAGCGUGCUAACAUGCUCUGCAUGACGAUGCUAGCAAGCAGAUGUUUUUUUCUCCAUAUAUUUGUAGUACUGGAUGAAUUGAACAUUUGACCAGAUGUUACACAGAGUGAAAAUAAACAGAAACACUAUACUUACUAGUAUUUACUGUUUGGGAAUCUGUACAAAAUGACACAAUUCUUGCGAAUAAUGACACGCAGCUAGCGUAGCUAAAAGUAAAAAAUCCUAUAUUUUUGGAGAUUUGGUGCGAGAAUGUUCUCAGUUUUUUCCCCGAGCAACAGUAAAAAUGAAUUAAUUACAUUUUUAUGCGAACAACAAACGGAAAACGACAACACAAGGAGGUCGCAACGAUGCUGCCGCCACAACAAGUGGUUUCCCUCAGCCACAAGUGUCACGUGUGUGUACUUGAAGCGCACGGCUUCUGUGACAGGUUACUUUGACCUACGACAUCUGUCACGGUGACAUCAAACGCCAAUAAAUCCCCAGAGAGAGAGCGCGCUACGGAACGCACUGCGCCGGUAAAAAAACCGUGUGUGAUUGUGUGCGUGUGACUUCGAGCCCUCGUGACCUGUGUUUGAGCAGCGAUAAGAGAGCGUCGACAUGUGCAAAGUGCCAGCUGCGGUGGAUUUAUCAGCAGGACAAAGGGCCAACCGAGGGAACACAACAAAAGGUGCUGAUAAAAGCAGCUUUUACACUUCAUAUUUCAGGAAGCCUGCCGUCGCUUAGCGCAACAACAACACGGGAGUGAAAGUCCCGUCUGCACAAAGAACAAAACGGUUGUGUAGUUGUUUGGUUGGGAAAUUCCACAAAAAAACACCGCAAAAACGUCACUUUCAUCUCACUACAAACACGCUUUUUUUAUGGAACCAUCUCGAGCUCUCAUCUCAACAUUCAGGCCGCGUUUCACCGCGGAGACGACACACUUUCACACACUUAAAUUCACUUUCAUAACUACACAAGCGCGGGGAGGCCGCUGCUGGUUAUCUGGAGAGUAAAUAUUGAACUUUGCUGCGGGCGGCUCGACCGUUGUGCUGUGCAUACUAUGAGGCAGAAAGGACUCGGGGUUUAAGAAGGUGAAACGCUCCGACUCUGUUAAUUGGGCAUCGUUUUGGUCCAUUGGAACAGAAAGGAUCUCAGCAGCUGCUCUUAUUCUCCACGGCUUGGAAUGACGCUGAUGUCAGAGUUUAAGCUCGUUCUUCUUUCUCGACUCAUAACAGAUGCUUUCACCCUAACGUCUAGGGCUGUCGACAUUAGCGUGUUCAUCUAUGCGAUUAAUGUGGCCGAUUAAUGCAAUACAAUAUUUGAACGCACCUUUAUUUACUUCCAGUCUUCCGUUGUGCUGGAAGUAAACAAAGUUGACCCCGGAAACAGCUAAUUGGUGACGGAGAUGGUAGCUGGAGAUGAAGCUUUUUGCUUUGGAAGUAAAGCCAACAGAGGCGAGACAUCCAGCGGAGAACUGCGCAGCGGAAUGACUGCACAAGUCGAACAGAAGGGGGGGGUGAGUGGCAAACUGACCACUUUACGAACCGCUAUGCUAAGCUAGCUGCUAGGCUACUUCCAUCUCAACAUCUACCCAUACAGUCUGCAGAGGAUCACCACUGUGUCUCCAAAAGCAGUAGUAGAUGAAUGUUCCACCUGGUGGGAUUCUGCCGCCAAGAAGAUCAAAUGUGUGUAGUGGGGUUUUAAAUAAUAUUUUAAUACAUUUUAAAAUAACUUUAACAAUUAAACAACAGUGUCUAAAAUACACACUUUCUAAAACAUUUAUUAACAACGUUGUAACAACAACGUUCAAUAAUCGCGAUUAAUCGCGACGAAUGAAAAUGUGUGAUUCAUUUGUUUGUUUUUUAAUCGAUUAACAGCCCUACUAACGACACGUCCAAUGCUCUUAAAUUCCGCUGAUCUCAUGGUGGACCCUCGUCUCUUCUCGCGCUAAAAUUCAUGUUUACACACAGAACAUUCGUCCCCUUGUGCUUUUAUCUUUGCCGUUCUGUCAGUGAUGACCUAUACGAUCUCUCAGGGAAAAGGCUCGAGUUGCGGCCUGAAGGCAGCGCGUCAACGUUCCCUUUCCGACCAAAACAGAGAGAGGAAAGCGCUUUUGUUUCCUCUGUCAGCUAUCGGUUACUGACCCCAGACACAAGAGAAUCGCAGUGUAACUUCCUCCCAGUUAGUAGCAGAGGUGUAGUGAAGUAAAGCCUGUCCCACAGAGGACAAAGCUAAACACAUGAAGUGGGGGACAUAGACAACGCCAGUGCUUAAAGGGGCGAAUGAAUGACAUCAGCCAGAAGCCAUCGCUCCUGGAGCUCAGUCGCCACGGUCUAAUAUUUCAGAAAAUCCUUCCUUUUGUGACCCUCCGUGAUUCCUAGCUCUUUAAAUCCUGCAUCUAGGUGCAGCGUUAGGAAACCGCGUUGGCACACAUGCGAUCACACUCGGGGAAGCUUGUGUGAGAGUUUAGAAGCUCGGUACAUCUGGGGUGGAUGCACACCGGCUCUGCAACGGCAGCUGCUACUAUAAGCAUUUGUCCCACACUCAUGACUCCAAACAGUCAGUUUGGCUUUACAACACAUUUAUAUGAUGGCAACGAAAGAAGAAACAAAGGGAUAUUCAAGCAGUUUAUUAUUGUUCUUCCAUCAAGGAAACUGGUCUGUCGAGCUUGAACUGGUUGUAUCAGUCGGCGUACGGAGCAUAGCCGGCUUAAGUGGACGUGGUUGACGUGGUUUGUGGACUGAGGAUGGAGCCGAGUACAAAUAAUGAGGCAUUUUAAUGCGACCAGUUACCUACAACAACACCCUGAGUUAUGAUCGAUUGGUGUAGGAUUGACAGCAUGGAUUCAUGUCGACAGUGUUUUACUGAGGCAAUAAAUCAAGUGACAAAUGGGCCUUUUCUAAUGGACUCGUUGAUCGAAUAGGAGUCGCCCCCUGCUGGCCGGUAGAAAUGAUGCCUGUUUAAGGUUCUUCAGACCCGGAGGUCGGGUGGAUGACGGGAUAAUCGCGUCUCCAGUGAAACCAGAGGUCACCUUCUCCAUCAUGUAGCCUCAAAACGUAAUUAACGCCGAUUCUGUAGUUAUUUCAUCCUGAACUGCAACCUUUUACUAAACCAAACCAAGUAAUUCUUUGGAUUAAAAAACAAUAACACUGAUUGCUGUUGUUGCUGGACGUUUGUGAUAAAACGCACAAAAUGCGUUUACAUUUAUUUUCAUCACUUUUAUUAACCAUCUUCCACCUCAUUCUGUCUAGACUCUGUGCCCGGAGGCGUGAGCUCUAAAACCUGAGUGAGGAGUUCGAAUGAAAGGAAUGCUUGUUCCCCCUCAUGUUAUCCUCUGCACCCCCCCAAACCACCCCACCCCCCCCCGGGGGCGAGUGAGGGCGGGUUGGACCGCAGCUCCCAGACUGCGUGGCAUUCCUAAAAUGAGUGCUAGCUUGUCGUUGCCCGAGUUCCCAAUCUAACCGAAGGCCGGCCUCUUUCAUUCACAAGCCCUUCGGGAGGUGAGGUUAAAGGUCAAAGCAAAUAUUUAGCUGGGUUCAAUAGCAAUAGAUUGUUUAUCCAUAAUCCCAUUGUUCCCGUGUCCUCUGUGACUUGCACUUUAGCAGUACUUGUGAUAUUUCCCACCUUUGGCAAACACAAGAAGACCUUCGCAGGAAAAAAAAAGGUUCUUGGUUACUGAACGGAUGUUUUUUUUAAUGAAUUUCACAUUCGGUACCACUUACAGUUCCUUUUUUAGAUCAUUUAAAAAAAGAAGUGGUUAGCUGGCAUGAGCAGCAAGGGCUGCUGUGACACAACAGACGAUGAGGAGGCCACAUACAGAAAAGCUAAAUCAUGUAUUAAGUGCAAACUAACAUUUGACCCAUUGCGCUUUCUACCAAAAGAAAAAAUUACCAAAUUAUGACAUGAAAUCUGUUACCAGGCGGACUCUACAGACACAUGAUAAGUGAAGAAAAAGGUUUCCACAACCAUUUAAUGCCUCCCCUCCUAAACCUUAUAAUUUUCAGUAUCAAUAUGUUUUUUUUAAACUACAUUUACAACUUUUUAAGACUCUACCUUCAAUCGAUUCAAUCUACGAUUCCAGGCUGCCCCAUGUUCCACGUCGAAGUGUCCCUGAGCAAGACACCUAACCCCUAAUUGCUCCCGGGGCAAAAAUAUGAAAAAGCCAUGGGUUUAAAGUGUAAUGUAAGUCGCUUUGGAUAAAAGCGUCUGCUAAAUGACCUGUAAUGUAAUGUAAUGUAAUCGAAUGUUUCCAUUUGUUUUUAAUUUGUAAUUUAAUUUAAUUAUAAAAAACAACAUUUAAGUCUCCCAACUUUCCGUUGUGGUUUCUUUAAGUGUUUAUUAUCUAUUUGUCCUCCGGGUCUAACGGCGUCUGCUUCACUGGGUGUUUACCGGGGGGCGGAGAGACCCUCGAGCACGGCCGGGAAUCAAUCCCCCUUCCUCCUCCUCCUCCUCCUCCUCCUCCCGGCCUUCUGGACAACGUACGGCGAUUCUGCCAGAGAAGAAGAGCAAGAAGCAGAAGCUCUCAGAUCAGUGAGCUUCCCUCCGGAGUCUUUUAUCAGCCGGCUUCCUGUCAUUACUCCGUCAGGUGUCAGCUCUGGAGUCUGGGAAGGAUCCAUGGCCCCUCAUUUCAGAGGCGUAGGGGCGUUUUUUGGGUGGAGAUGGGGGGGUCUGUUUGGGGUUUGGGACGCGUCUAUAAUUGAUGGUUCGGAAGUUUUAAGGGGGACGAUGAGAGGAGUUUAAUAAAGUUCCACAAGUGAGUCUCUUACUGUUCAACGUGGAAAUGCAACAAUUGCCUCAUUCGGGGGCGGAGGGGUCACACAGGCGGCCAUGUUGAAACACAAACAAUGUGUCAUGUUGUGUUUGUUGUUUCAUUAUCAUGAUUAAGCUGUACUAUGAUUCUGUGCCAGCUUUUUGCUAAUGUUUAAACUAGUAUAAUACUAGUGUGAACUACCCACAGCUUUCAUGCUGAUUGCAUGAAUUAUAAAUAAUUCCUUUCGUCCCGUAAUUUUGGAGGACCAAAUUCAAUGGGAACUAUCAAAAUAAUGUUAACAUUUAAUAUUUGGUGAGUGAUGAUUUGCAGUCACUAACUUUUACAAGUGGAAGACCAACAGCUAUUAUCAGAUUCGGGCACUUAACGCUCUGACAGGCCGGCACAUUUCAUAUUUAACAGUGUUUUCAUUUGAACAGGAGGUCAUGUGACUGACCUGGCCAGUACAGUACGUUCAGUACCUGAAGCUCCGUGUUCGCUUUGUAUUUAGAAUAAUAAACGCCAAGACUCAACCGACGGGGACGUGAGCGUCUCUUUCAACAAAACAUUCAAUCAUUCAUAUAAACGACAUUUAAAGGUGUAAUAUUUAGACAGCGGCCGGUUAGGCACAAGUAAUUGAUCACGUAUUCUCGUCGAGGGGUCCGGUUGUCCGUCCUCCCGAGGGACGGACCGGUUUUGGACUCGGGGGAUGUCAGGUUGAGACGUAGGGCGGUUAAACAAGCGGGACCCGUCCCAGGAAGCCGAUGUUGGGACAGUGUUGGGACGGUGUUAGGGACGGUGUUAGGGACGGUGUUAGGGACAUGUUAGGGACGGUGUUAGGGACGGUGUUAGGGACAGUGUUGGGACGGUGUUAGGGACGGUGUUAGGGACGGUGUUAGGGACAGUGUUGGGACGGUGUUGGGGCGAUGUUAGGGACGGUGUUGGGGCGAUGUUAGGGACGGUGUUAGGGACGGUGUUAGGGACAGUGUUGGGACGGUGUUAGGGACGGUGUUAGGGACGGUGUUAGGGACAGUGUUGGGACGGUGUUGGGGCGAUGUUAGGGACGGUGUUAGGGACAGUGUUGGGGACGGUGUUAGGGACGGUGUUGGGGCGAUGUUGGGGCGAUGUUGGGGACAGUGUUGGGACGAUGCCGGACGCAUCGACUGACGGCCUUUCACGUGUGUACUUGUGAUUAAAACGUUAACAUCUUGGGAUAGUGUCCAACUGUGAGUGUCCCCCCCCCCCUGUCCGUCCACCGCUAAUCACAUAACAAUAACUUGUUUGGUACCACUGCAAGCUCAAAGUCCUCCAGAGGUUGGGGUGACUUAGACUUUCCCAAAUCUCCUUUUGUUGUUUGCUCACUUUUGGCGUUUUGGACGGGACACACACACACACACACACACACACACACACACACACACACACACGGUGUUAGGCAAGACAUUGCAGCUUGUUUCUUUAGUUUGGUUUUAAAAAUAAAACUCCUUCCUGCCUUUGGUGUCUAGACGGGGGAUUUGCCAAUAGCGGGUUCCCAGACUACAGCAGUGCUCACAGACACACCUAUGGGAGAUCUGCACUGAGGGAUCCUUAGUGAUGAGCGGCAUGUGCUGCUAUGUUUUAUUUAAUGUUUGCUUGUGCACAUUUGGUUGCAUGAAGUAAAUAAUGUUUUAAAUUCAGAGCACAGAAUGUGCCGGUACAAACCGCUGAUUACUGACGGAGCGCGCUGAGAAAACGGACACCUGGAGCGCGUUAUGGUGGUAAUCACGUGUGGCCGAGGUAAAUAUCAGGUAGAGAGCGCCGGCGAAACGUCCUUGAUAACAUUUUACAACGUGCCCUUUGGUCCCUUCACCCACAACGCAAUUCCACAGGAAGCUUUAACCGCACAUUCCUGAAAUAGCCUUUCAGAUGGCUGCUUCUAAAAGUGGUGAAAAGGCCGGAGGGAGAACCGGAUGAAGAGCAGCCGCCACCGAGCCAGUGUGAAGAGUGCAGCUUCUCUCCACACAUCUCGGGGUCGCGGGUGCUGGUCACGAGGCCUCCAGGAUCAGCUGCUUUUGAACGCCGGGGGGGGUAAAGCCUCAGCCCAUGAGCUGCGGUACAGGGAGCCCCAGCCGGGCCCCCGAGGAUCGACAGCAGGCAGACGAAUCUUU